UAUGCCGGCGUAAGUUAUAAAUUGAGGUACACAUGUACAUGUAGUUGAUUUGGUCAUGUUGGAAGGAGAGGUGGAACUACGGGAGAGAUGAGCUGAUUAUUCGCAGGGUGAGGGUAACAUCGGUUGGACGAGUAUGACGAUUACGAAGAUAGUUCAACAUGAUAUUAAUUUUCAAAGCUCUCUGCUAGCAGUCAUGGAUCCCGGAGGCCAUGUCUUUCCAACAGACAAGGCCCCGCUGCUGCUGCUGCUGCUGUUGAUGAUGGUGAUAUCGGCAGAGGUGCUGAAUGUGCUGCGUAUGCGGCGAUUGGGCACUAAGAGUUGCACACGUUCAUCGUCAGGCUGUCUCUACUGCUGGACCGGCUCCAGCAGAAAGCUUUACUUCCAUCUGAUGGCGUGGAGCUAUUGAACUCCCUGGCAGAAGUUGAAGACAUCAUCAAGAAAUACCAAUAUACCGGAAACUGAUGUCCCCUCACUCGCAUCCCUACACUGCAGCUCUCACUCUCAUUGUGGGUGUAGCAGCUACAGUAUAGACUACAGGUAAUAUUAUUGUAUGCAACAAGUGUACUUGUACAUUCACACAAGAUUUCCUAUGAUCAACAUAAUCAUCAUCUCAUAUUCAAACCAUUACAUCAGGCAAAGUACAAUAAGCCACACAUAGAUGUUUUCAUUGAAUUAUUUAUUUUAAAAAAAGAGCUUUGCAUAAUUUCCAGCAUCUGGGAAAAGAUCUGUGUGUUAUUUUGGUAAUUGGAGCAACUGCUCAAGAUGCAUGCUGUAUGUAGUAACUAGUAAGGAAGUUUUUUUACAUUCAAGUGACUACUCAACAACAGAACCAGCUGAUAAAAACAAGGCGUGAGAUGGA